GACGAACGCUGGCGGCGUGCUUAACACAUGCAAGUCGAGCGGUAAGGCCCUUCGGGGUACACGAGCGGCGAACGGGUGAGUAACACGUGGGUGACCUGCCUCUAGCUCUGGGAUAAGCCUGGGAAACUGGGUCUAAUACCGGAUAUGACUCCACGGCGCAUGUUGUGGGGUGGAAAGCCUUGUGUGGCUAGAGAUGGGCCCGCGGCCUAUCAGCUUGUUGGUGGGGUGAUGGCCUACCAAGGCGACGACGGGUAGCCGGCCUGAGAGGGCGACCGGCCACACUGGGGCUGAGACACGGCCCAGACUCCUACGGGAGGCAGCAGUGGGGAAUCUUGCGCAAUGGGCGAAAGCCUGACGCAGCGACGCCGCGUGAGGGAUGACGGCCUGGUGUAAC
rnacentral:rRNA from 1 species